rnacentral:rRNA from 1 species
ACUGAGCGGCGGACGGGUGAGUAACGCGUGGGUAACCUGCCUCGUACAGGGGGAUAACAGUUGGAAACGGCUGCUAAUACCGCAUAAGCGCACAGUACCGCAUGGUACGGUGUGAAAAACUCCGGUGGUAUGAGAUGGGCCCGCGUCUGAUUAGGUAGUUGGUGGGGUAACGGCCUACCAAGCCGACGAUCAGUAGCCGACCUGAGAGGGUGACCGGCCACAUUGGGACUGAGACACGGCCCAA